rnacentral:rRNA from 1 species
ACGAACGCUGGCGGCGUGCUUAACACAUGCAAGUCGAACGGAAAGGCCCUGCUUGCAGGGUACUCGAGUGGCGAACGGGUGAGUAACACGUGGGUGAUCUGCCCUGCACUUCGGGAUAAGCUUGGGAAACUGGGUCCAAUACCGGAUAGGAGCCAUCUUUAGUGUGGUGGUUGGAAAGUUUUUUCGGUGUAGGAUGAGCUCGCGGCCUAUCAGCUUGUUGGUGGGGUAAUGGCCUACCAAGGCGGCGACGGGUAGCCGGCCUGAGAGGGUGUACGGCCACAUUGGGACUGAGAUACGGCCCAGACUCCUACGGGAGGCAGCAAUGGGGAAUAUUGCACAAUGGGCGCAAGCCUGAUGCAGCGACGCCGCGUGGGGGAUGAAGGCCUUCGGGUUGUAAACUCCUUUCGCUAGGGACGAAGCUUUUUUGUGACGGUACCUAGAUAAGAAGCACCGGCUAACUACGUG